rnacentral:rRNA from 1 species
UACGGAGGGGUUAGCGUUGUUCGGAAUUACUGGGCGUAAAGCGCACGUAGGCGGACUAGUCAGUCAGAGGUGAAAUCCCAGGGCUCAACCCUGGAACUGCCUUUGAUACUGCUAGUCUUGAGUUCGAGAGAGGUAAGUGGAAUUCCGAGUGUAGAGGUGAAAUUCGUAGAUAUUCGGAGGAACACCAGUGGCGAAGGCGGCUUACUGGCUCGAUACUGACGCUGAGGUGCGAAAGUGUGGGGAGCAAACAGG